AUUUCCCAGGCAGGAAUACUGGAGUUGGUUGCCAUUUCCUUCUCCAGGGGACCUUCCUGACUCAGGGAUGGAACCCGAGUCUCUUGCUUUGGCAGGCAGAUUCUCUACCACUGAGCAACAAGCAUGAGUCUAAUAUGAGCAGGGUUGAGAAUCACCAACUUAUUAGAAUAAGCCCUGGGUUGUGCCAAGUCACAGCCUGCAUCCCCUCUAAUUGGUGAGUUGACUUCUCCACAUGAGUCAGACACCUGAUUUCCCCACAAAGAUCUUAAGGUCUAAUAUCUGCUCUCAAGAAGCAGGUGUGUGUGUGUGUGUGUGUGUGUGUGUGUGUAUGUGUGUGUGUGUAAGGUCUGAUACUUGCCCUCAAGAAGCAGGUGUGUGUGUGUGUGUGUGUGUAAGGUCUGAUACCUGCCCUCAAGAAGCAGGUGUGUGUGUGUGUGUAUGUGUAUGAGAUGAAGCUCUCAUGGUGUCAAGAACACAGUGUGGUUCAAAGGACGCCUUGAUUGGCUCUACCUGGAGCCUCAGCAAACAAAGAGGUGGUGAUGCUUCUGGCCAGAAAGCAAGAGGUUCGUAGCUGCCUCUCAGCCCAGCACAUCAGGGCACCUGCUCGCUCAACUUACAAGUUCCUAGCAGCAGGGCUCCUGCAGGGGCAGGAGGAGGGGACAUGAGCAGCAAGUGUUUCUAGAAGCAGCUCUGAGAAGUUCCCUUUUAAAAAGCUAAGCUUGAAUUACUGAAAGAGAAUCAUGCCUUGAGUUCUUUAAGCAGCUCCUCACUUUUCCCUGGAGAAGUAAUCAAGAGCUCUGUUGAGUUCAGACAGUCUGGUUUGUUCACAGCCCCAGGGAAAGGCCAGAACCUGGUACCAAGAACAGGGCUGAGCACCUCAGCUCACCUGGGCUGGGCUUGGGUGUCCCUGGAGCUGCUCAGCACUUAAGCAGUUGCUCUUCUUUCCCCCUCCUUCCCUCAUCCUGCACUCACCCAAUCUUUUUUUUGGAUGUGCUAUCUUUCCAUUCUGCAUCUUUCCAUGGUUAUCUUUUUUUUUUUUUUUUUAAGAAAGAAGUGGCAAGCUUCCCCAGUGGCUAAGCAGUAAAGAAUCUGCCUGCCAAUGCAGUAGACUCCGGUUUGAUCCCUGACUCGGGAAGAUCCCCUGGAGGAGGAAAUGGCAACCUACUCCAGUAUUCCUGCCUGGAGAAUUCCAAGGACAGAGGAGCCUGGCGGGCUACAGUCCAUAGAGUCACAAAGAGUUGGACAGACCUAAAGCAGCUGAGCACAACAGGUUGUUUAUUUUGUCUUUCUGACUGCAUGCCGGCAUGCAGGGUCUUAGCUCCCUAUUCAGGGAUCAAACCCAUGCCCCCUGCGGUGAAAGCUCAGUGUCCUAACCACUGGACUGCCAGGGAAUUCCUCCACACAUGCAAUCUUGAUGCCCACUGCACCAGGCUCCCAAAGAUAGGGGAAGUACACAGGCCCUGCUUUCACAGAGCUCAGUGUCUAGGGCCCCAAACUGACAAGCACAUGGGAAAUUCAGACUGUGACCCAGCCAGAGGCUGAGGAAGUCACGAGGCAGUGCAUGAACAUGCUCCCUGCCCUCCCCUGCCACUCUGGGUGAGGCCCUCACCCUCGCAGCUGGCUUUGGGGUGAAGCCAGAGUGGGAAGGAAAAGUGAGGAGGCGCUUGGGUGCCCAGAAACAGAAGGGAGGGGAAUGAGAAAGAAUCAGAAGUCCAGUCAUCACCACCCUCCUCAUGCACCCAGUCUCACCCCAGCUCCCCCACGUUCUCCCUCUGUGGUUCAGCCCCGCCCCCCCAAGCCUUUCUUUGCAAGUGGCAGUCAACCCUGUUCAGAGGUCAGGCAUCCACUGACCACUACUUUCCACACUGGCUGCCCAGCACUGUUAUCUCAGGGAGCCAAGCCAGCCGGAAACCACAGGCCUCGGGUCUUCUUCUCUGAUCCAUGGUUCUUGCCUGGAAACAUGAACUUGAAGUGCUGGUAUAUUGAACCAGUCAAACCUCAAGAAUUGAGCUGAGCAGCAUGGCUGUGUUUCAGGCAAGAAACUAAGCUGUGAAAUCAGACUCCUGGAAUCUCGGGACCUCAGUUGGCCUCUCUGUGCCUCAGUUUCCUUAUCUGUAAAACAGUGAUUAAAAUUAAAUCAGUGUUCAUAAAAGC